GAGAAAUACUUGCAGAGCCAGCAGGUAGCUGGGCAGCUCCUUCCCGGAUGGACGGAUGGACGGACGCUGGGGACCCUGCACUCCAUAUGGAAAGAUGACAUGACCUUGUGGUAGAUCCCAGAACUGAGGCCCCAGGAUGACAGAACAGGAGACCCUGGUCCUGCUGGAAGUGAAGAGGUCUGAUUCCCCAGAGAAGAACUCACCCCAGACCUUGGUUCCCAAUGGCCGGCAGCCAGAAAGGGAAGGUGGAGCCGAAUCCCCGGGAGCUGAGUCCCUCAGAGUGGGGUCUUCAGCUGGAUCUCCCACAGCCAUAGAGGGGGCUGAGGAUGGUCUAGACAGCACAGUAAGCGAGGCUGCCACCUUGCCCUGGGGGACUGGCCCUCAGCCCAGUGCUCCGUUCCCGGAUCCCCCUGGCUGGCGGGACAUUGAACCAGAGCCCCCUGAGUCAGAACCACUUACCAAGCUAGAGGAGCUGCCCGAAGAUGAUGCCAACCUGCUGCCUGAGAAAGCGGCCCGUGCCUUCGUGCCUAUUGACCUACAGUGCAUUGAGCGGCAGCCCCAAGAAGACCUUAUCGUGCGCUGUGAGGCAGGCGAGGGCGAGUGCCGAACCUUCAUGCCCCCCCGGGUCACCCACCCCGACCCCACUGAGCGCAAGUGGGCUGAGGCAGUGGUGAGGCCGCCUGGCUGUUCCUGUGGGGGCUGCGGGAGCUGUGGAGACCGUGAGUGGCUAAGGGCUGUGGCCUCUGUGGGAGCUGCACUCAUCCUCUUCCCUUGCCUACUAUAUGGGGCAUAUGCCUUCCUGCCGUUUGAUGUCCCACGGCUGCCCACCAUGAGUUCCCGCCUGAUCUACACACUGCGCUGCGGGGUCUUUGCCACCUUCCCCAUUGUGCUGGGUGAGCCUGUGAGAAGAAAGGGGGCAUUGGGAAGUGGACUUGAGGAGGGCAGGGCCUGUCUGGCGUGGGGAGCAGGAGGGUUUCCCUUCACUUGGCCUGGGCCCCUCAGGGUCUCCCACCCCCUGCGAGUCUGCAUGCCCAUCUCCUCCCAGGACUACCUCCACCCCACUGUGUUGAGCCCAUGCACUGCCCACAGUGAACCUGCCCCCAGCUUACUGCCUCUUGCGCCCUUCCCCUGCCUUUUCUGACCCUACCCUGUGUUUCCCAACUCCACCCAGGGAUCCUGGUGUACGGGCUGAGCCUGUUAUGCUUUUCUGCCCUUCGGCCCUUUGGGGAGCCACGGCGGGAGGUGGAGAUCCACCGGCGAUAUGUGGCCCAGUCGGUCCAGCUCUUUAUCCUCUACUUCUUCAACCUGGCCGUGCUUUCCACUUACCUGCCCCAGGAUACCCUCAAACUGCUCCCCCUGCUCACUGGUCUCUUUGCCGUCUCCCGGCUGAUCUACUGGCUGACCUUCGCCGUGGGCCGCUCCUUCCGAGGCUUCGGCUACGGCCUGACGUUUCUGCCGCUGCUGUCGAUGCUGCUGUGGAACCUCUACUACAUGUUCGUGGUGGAGCCGGAGCGCAUGCUCACUGCCACCGAGAGCCGCCUGGACUACCCGGACCACGCCCGCUCGGCCUCUGACUACAGGCCCCGCCCCUGGGGCUGAGCCGCUCCGCUCUCGCCCUCGGAGUAGCGGGUAGCGGCGUGGGUCAGACACAUCUUUGAACCUUGUGGCCAGGCCUGGACUUCGCCCCCAGGCCUAGGACCGCGGUGGGUGGAACCCUGCUACUGCCCCAACAGGGACUCCAAUCAGUCAGAGUUCUCCCCUUGCCGGAGCUGCCCUUCACCUUUGGGGCCCCAGACAGUCAUAAGGGAUGGACUUAGUUUUCUUGCAGGGAAAAAGGUGGACAGCCGUGUUUCUUAAGGAUGCUGAGGGCAUGGGGCCAGGACCAGGGGAGAGACACAGCUCCUUCCUGAGCAGCCUCCCACCACUGCCACAAGGCUCCCUAAUGCUGGACUCUGCUCCACUCCCUGGCUUCCCGUGAGGCAGGAGGCAGAGCCACAGCCAAGGCCCUGACCACUUCUGUGCCAGUUGUCUAAGCAGAGCGCCUCAGGGACGCUGGAAAUGCCUUAAGGAUAGAGGUCGGGCAUCACAUCAAAUGGGACUGUGGUGUUUGGUGAAAACCUUCCUGGGGAUCUGGAUUCAGGACCCUCCAUGACUGGGCUAUUUACUAUUUACAGCUGGCCAGUCCAGAGCUGCUGCUCUUUUACCUAUUUAGGCCCCUGUAACUUCCCACCUUUAAACUGCACAGAAGCCAUGCCUCUCCCACGGGAAGAGGGGAGCAGACAGGGAAAUCUGCCUCCCAAGAGGGAUGUGUGUGUGUUUGUGCCCACACAUGGUGGCUGGGGAGUGCCUGGAUGGUGCGGUGGUUGAUGUUAACCUAGUGUGAGUGUAUGUGUGUAACAAUAAAUUACUACCAGUC
rnacentral:sRNA from 1 species